CACUAUCUCCUUGUCGUCAUGCGUGAUAUGCAAUUCGUAUGGCACAUCGAGACGGAGAA
rnacentral:pre_miRNA from 1 species